GCUAAAGAAUCUAUUCUGUGCUUUCCUACCAUAUUGUUUAAUGAAGACGUAUUCCAUUGCUCUUGAAGAGGUUGUUAAUAGCUGGACAAACUGCAGGAACAAAAGCACCAAUGUCUCUGGCGUCAGCCAAAGCAUCCCUUUAAAAACUAAGUUCUCCGUACAGGUCUAAGUCGUAAGAGACAGCCCAGAACCUCAAAUUGCCAUCCUUAGCAUGGCAGCCCUGAGUUGCAUGGUCUGAGCACAGGACUGUGACCCAGAAAUGUAUUUUAAUCACAAAUCUAGGCAAGUAAUUUACAUUUUGCCACCAUUUUCUCUGUCUCUAAAAUGGGAAUAACAGCUACUUCACAUGCAUACUGGUAAGAAUAAUUACUGUUUGUGAAGCAUCAAAGAGGAAAAGCAUUUCAUAAGUUGAAGGAGAAACUGACUUCUGUACUUAGAGCUGCAAUAAACUUACGCUACUUUGACAUGGUUAAGAUUUUUGAGGUGUAUUUCCCAACAAAAUGUGUCUAGUUGUCUAUGUAUAGAUUUUGUUUGUUUGUCAGUAUACUGUCAUCUUAUGCCUCUGCUAUAGCCUAGGUUCAAAUUCAGUAGCAAACUUGCCCUCUCAUGUGGAGGGACAGUAAGAUAUUCAUUAAAAUGGAAUCAAGUAGUAGUGUAAUACGGAAGAUACUAACGUUACAGACUUCAGAUCAAGAAUAAUGGCAUUUAUAUCAGAGUACUAAGGAUUUUUUUUGCAUAUCUGAUGAAACCAGGGGGGUAUUUUUUCUAUCCCAACAUCAAACUUGCAUUUGCAUUGCAUGCUUGCAAUUUGACAUUUAUAUAGAGAAAUAAAACUGGAGAAGCAUAGAUGCUUUUUAAAGUGGUAUCUGCAACAUUCCACCAAACAGUACUUGUAACUUUUUUCCAGCAUUGAUACCCUUUACAAAACAGAUUUUUAAUUGUAACUUCUUACUCUUACAGUGAAUUCAUCUUAAAAGUGCUUUUUGCAGUACUAGUGUUAUGUUAAUAUUUUGCCUUAUUCACUAGGCUGCAUAUUUUAUAGCUGAAGUGGAGUAUGUACUUAAUGUAUUUGAAGUUGUUAGAAAAGAACAAAUCACACUUACAAUAUGCCAAUUCAUUGCCUUCAUUGUAAAUAAGCAAAUAAAGAUUUUAUUUAAAUGUGUUCAUUGU
rnacentral:lncRNA from 1 species